rnacentral:rRNA from 1 species
GGAUAUGAGUAUAGCGGCGGACGGGUGAGUAACGCGUAGGAAUCUACCUAGUAGAAGGGGAUAGCCCGGGGAAACUCGGAUUAAUACCGUAUACCUCCUAAGGGAGAAAGAGGGCCUCUCUUGAUGCUCUCGCUAUUAGAUGAGCCUGCGUAAGAUUAGCUUGUUGGUAAGGUAAUGGCUUACCAAGGCUACGAUCUUUAGCUGGUCUGAGAGGACGAUCAGCCACAUUGGGACUGAGACACGGCCCAGACUCCUACGGGAGGCAGCAGUGGGGAAUAUUGGACAAUGGGCGCAAGCCUGAUCCAGCCAUACCGCGUGUGUGAAGAAGGCCUUCGGGUUGUAAAGCACUUUAAGCAGGGAGAAAAAGUUAUAAGUUAAUACCUUAUAACCGUGAUGUUACCUGCAGAAUAAGCACCGGCUAAUUCCGUGCCAGCAGCCGCGGUAAUACGGAAGGUGCAAGCGUUAAUCGGAAUUACUGGGCGUAAAGCGCGCGUAGGUGGUUUGUUAAGUUGGAUGUGAAAGCCCUGGGCUCAACCUAGGAACUGCAUCCAAAACUAACUCACUAGAGUACGAUAGAGGGAGGUAGAAUUCAUAGUGUAGCGGUGGAAUGCGUAGAUAUUAUGAAGAAUACCAGUGGCGAAGGCGGCCUCCUGGAUCUGUACUGACACUGAGGUGCGAAAGCGUGGGUAGCGAACAGGAUUAGAUACCCUGGNUAGUCCACGCCGUAAACGAUGACAACUAGCUGUUGGGAGACAAUGUCUUUCAGUGGCGCAGCUAACGUUUUAAGUUGUCCGCCUGGGGAGUACGGCCGCAAGGCUAAAACUCAAAUGAAUUGACGGGGACCCGCACAAGCGGUGGAGCAUGUGGUUUAAUUCGAUGCAACGCGAAAAACCUUACCUACUCUUGAC